UGUGGCUACACAUAUUAAACGUGGCUCCAUGAGAUCUACUGCUUCUAACUUCAUUCCGACACGAAAUCCGUGAUUUGGAACAUCCUGACAUGGAGAAGCAGAACAUUAAUACUGACUCAGGGCGAGAGGUCCACCUCAGGCUCCUCCCAAACCAGGAAGAUCUGCUUCACCACUUCCUGCUCCAGGCCGCUCGUGAGGCUAUCUGGGAGCGACUCUCCUUCCCUGCAAGGAUGACAUAAUGAAGAUUCUAACAUUGUUAACCUGAAUGCGAAGUCAUAUUUAUUUUCAACUUUCAAUGAGUAAGUGCCUAUGUGUGAUCCAGGUUAGGAAAAAAUAUUUUUUAAUUGAAAGAUAUUAUUUU